rnacentral:rRNA from 1 species
AGCGAACGCUGGCGGCAGGCCUAACACAUGCAAGUCGAACGAAGUCUUCGGACUUAGUGGCGUACGGGUGAGUAACACGUGGGAACGUGCCUUUAGGUUCGGAAUACCUCAGGGAAACUUGUGCUAAUACCGAAUGUGCCCUUCGGGGGAAAGAUUUAUCGCCUUUAGAGCGGCCCGCGUCUGAUUAGCUAGUUGGUGAGGUAAAGGCUCACGAAGGCUACGAUCCGUAGCUGGUCUGAGAGGAUUACCAGCCACAUUGGGACUGAGACACGGCCCAAACUCCUACGGGAGGCAGCAGUGGGGAAGCUUGAGCAAUGGGCGAAAGCCUGACGCAGCCAGGCCGCGUGGAUGAUGAAGGUCUUAGGAUUGUAAAAUCCUUUCACCGGUGAGGAUAAUGACUGUAGCCGGAGAAGAAGCCCCGGCUAACUUCGUGCCAGCCGCCGCGGUAAAAC